rnacentral:tRNA from 1 species
CNGUAGUUAAACUCUACUAUUAAGGA